UGUUGUGAGCUGCAAAUUGUAGUAUAAAGUGGUAGUGUAUAGAAAUAUGCUUUGUUCAAGAAUGGAACUUGGUUGUGUCCACAAGUGCUAGGGCGGAUUGAUUGUUGCAGUAAAUGAAGAUAGGUUGUUUUAGGAUUUUGGCGUAGUGGAGGUCAUGAACUACACAAGCUCGGAUGCCGUCUUAGCUAUGGCGACGUAUUUGGCUUUGGUGCUCGAUAAAGUAGUGGAUUUCUGACGCGUGGAGCUUCAACUGAUGGCGCCAUGGGAGAGCAGGAAGACGUAACUAGAAGUAGAACGGCAUUCAUCAAUCUCACCUACCUAGUCGGCAUCACUGAAGCCGUGAAGGAAGCGCGGAAUAGAGGAAGAUGUGCAAUAUUCUAACUACAAUCCAAUCGUGCUGCGAAGGGCCUGAGUAAUACAUAGCCAACCGUGGUCAAGAUCGCAGGUUACCUGCAAGCUUAAGAGGUGAUGAACCUUGCCGAUAUCGGACAGCAAGAACUGCACAUGAAGUUGAGAUUUUAUCGUAUGAAGCAGCGGGAGAUUGUUUGCUGCGAUUAGGGUAUCGUCAACGUAAAGGGUGAGCACCGCAAAAUCCACUCCUUGUUGUAAGUAGUAAACAUUUCCAUCCGCUGCCGAGUUGGUGAAGUCGAGGAUGAAGAGGAAUUGGUUGAUGAUUUUGAACCAUUCCAGAGGGGACUACUUCAACCCAUGUAGGGUUUUACGCAGUCUGCACACCAUGCCGGGGCAGGAGAGAGAUAAAUCCUCCGAGACUCGCAUGUAUAUUUCUUCGUGCAAGAUCCCAUUGUGAAAGGCCGUCUUCACGUCCAUUUGAUGCACAUGAAGAUUCAACUAGGCGGCAAGGGCAAGUAUAAGGCGGAUCGAUUGGAUCCGCACAAUCUGGGAAAAGGUUUCAUGGGAGAUCGGUGAAUGUCCAGGUGCCAUUAACCGCAUGGAAGUUCAGUUCUUCGGCUAUGGCGGACUGCUAGUGAGAGCUUUCGGAAGACCGCAUCGACUAGACAUAGGAGGCAGGUUCUGAGGGCACCAAAGCAACGGUGAGUAGAGCGUGCUUCGAACGAGAAGAACAAGUUGAAGGAGGUUGCAGGCGAAGUGAGUUUGGGUUAUAGUUCUUGGAGGGAUCUCAUAGAAGGGGUACACCCUUGUUGAGGCGAGCAGACUGUCAGAUGGACACAGGAGGAGUACUGGUCGCGGACAAGUCAAAUAUAAAAGCCUCAUGUUCAGAAUCAUGAGCAUGAACAUGAUGCCCCAAAUGUGGCAUGAGGGCUAGGCUGGUGGAGGACAUGACUGCACGUCGCAGAAAGGGUCGAGAUAGUGAUGGAGCGCUCGCUGCGAACGGGGCCACAGGUAGGGUGUCUAGUGCAAGGAGUGUUUGCUCAUGUUGGGACUGCAUAGGUACCAAACUUGACUCCAAAGGAAGCACAACUUGGACGGUUGCCGAUCCAAAAGUUGGGAUGUCUAGGACCAAAGAAGGGCCAAGUGCUUGAGGUGGAGGCAGCGGGCUAGAUUGCAUUGUCAAAGACACAAUGCAUGUAGGGCUAGAUUGCAUUGUCUAAGACACAAUGCAUGUAGGCUUUGAUGGUGCAACUUUAAUAGAAAUUGAAGGUUGAGCAUAAGAAAGAUGCAGGUGUGGAGCAACAGGGGAAACAUGUUCAUGUGGAGCUGUAGCAGAAGAAGAACCGCUAGGGUUAUAAGUUGUGGUAAGUUAACCUUGAAUGCCAUGUGUUUCUAAGUAUUGAUUGAAUUCAAAGGAAAGGUACUCUUCUCCUUGAUUUGAAUCAAAAGAACAAAUUUUAUAGCUAGUUUGAUUUUUAGUCCAUGUGUAGAAGAUUUUGAAUAUAUGUAGGCAUUCAUUUUUUCAUUAUAGGAGUUAAAGCAUUGUAUAUCUAGAAAAAUCGUCCAUGAAUGUUAUAUAGUAUCUGUAGCCAAAGAAUGUAGGUGUGACUAUGUGGCCAUUGAUGUCAAAGUGAAUUAGUUUGAGAAGCUAAGUUGUAUACAUACUAACUUGUUUUGAGAAUUUUGUAGAAGCUUGUCUGCUAUAAAACCAUGUUGAGCAAAUAUGAUUCAAUAUUGUUUUUAGAGGUAAUUUUAUAAUGAUUGAUGUAUGGACAAGCUGCUUAAAACAAUCAUUGUUGGGGUGACCAAGCUGGCAAUGCCAUAAAGCUGAUUAUAGGCUCGGAAGAGGAACAACAAAGAAAGAUGCCUUGUGUUGAAAUAGAGUCAAUAGUGGAGUAGGGCGAGAGUACUCGGAUUAAACAAAGAAGAUUGGAACAGUGUUCAAUAUGGGCAGCUAUGGAAUGAGUGCAUGGGACUAAUACUUCAAGGUACCAUGUUGAAUUGGCAUCAUAGGUACAUUGUUGAUAAUAGCAAUGAGUGGUAAGACUAGCAAGGAUAAUUGUAAGCCAUGAAUGUUUUAUGCAAAAGAAGGAUCUAAGUCGAGUGUCUAGCAUUCAAGGUUGUAUAUAAUAGUGGGAGGCAUUGCUAGAGAGUAUUGUAAUAUCUAGUAGUCAUUAUUAUUCACAAUAGUGGGAAGCUUUGUUGGUGAAGAUGGGAGUGUUAUUGAUGGCCAAUGUGGUAUAGAGUGAUUAUAUAUCAAUAGAGUGGAAGUAGUCACACAAGGAAGCUAUAUGAGCAUUGGCAAUUUUAGCAUUAAGAGUUGAGGUGCCUUCAAUAGAAAAUUAUAAAAUGGACAAGAAAAGUUGUCGUAGAUGCGAUAGAGCUCUCAAAUAGUCAAUGGUAUGUGUGUCCACCUGUUGCUAUUGUAAUUGUGUUGACCUAAGUAAAUAUAGAUUAGAUUGAAGAAG